GGCAAGAUGACCGAGCGGUUAAGGUGCCAGACUCAAGCGUCACAUGACCUUACCUCCUUCAAAAGGAGGUAGCGCUUUCUGGUGGGGCAACCCGCGGGAGUUCGAAUCUCCCUCUUGUCA